rnacentral:rRNA from 1 species
AGCGCCGUAGGCGGAUCAGAAGUAUAGGGUGAAAUCCCAGGGCUCAACCCUGGAACUGCCUUAUAAACUCCUGGUCUUGAGUUCGAGAGAGGUGAGUGGAAUUCCGAGUGUAGAGGUGAAAUUCGUAGAUAUUCGGAGGAACACCAGUGGCGAAGGCGGCUCACUGGCUCGAUACUGAC